AGAGUUUGAUCAUGGCUCAGGAUGAACGCUGGCGGCGUGCUUAACACAUGCAAGUCGAACGAUGAAGCCAGCUUGCUGGUGGAUUAGUGGCGAACGGGUGAGUAACACGUGAGUAACCUGCCCUUAACUCUGGGAUAAGCCUGGGAAACUGGGUCUAAUACCGGAUAUGACUCCUCAUCGCAUGGUGGGGGGUGGAAAGCUUUUUGUGGUUUUGGAUGGACUCGCGGCCUAUCAGCUUGUUGGUGAGGUAAUGGCUUACCAAGGCGACGACGGGUAGCCGGCCUGAGAGGGUGACCGGCCACACUGGGACUGAGACACGGCCCAGACUCCUACGGGAGGCAGCAGUGGGGAAUAUUGCACAAUGGGCGCAAGCCUGAUGCAGCGACGCCGCGUGAGGGAUGACGGCCUUCGGGUUGUAAACCUCUUUCAGUAGGGAAGAAGCGAAAGUGACGGUACCUGCAGAAGAAGCGCCGGCUAACUACGUGCCAGCAGCCGCGGUAAUACGUAGGGCGCAAGCGUUAUCCGGAAUUAUUGGGCGUAAAGAGCUCGUAGGCGGUUUGUCGCGUCUGCCGUGAAAGUCCGGGGCUCAACUCCGGAUCUGCGGUGGGUACGGGCAGACUAGAGUGAUGUAGGGGAGACUGGAAUUCCUGGUGUAGCGGUGAAAUGCGCAGAUAUCAGGAGGAACACCGAUGGCGAAGGCAGGUCUCUGGGCAUUAACUGACGCUGAGGAGCGAAAGCAUGGGGAGCGAACAGGAUUAGAUACCCCGGUAGUCC
rnacentral:rRNA from 1 species